AGCCAAAGAGCAGCCAAGCUAGACCUCAGUCCAGAGGAAUAAUUUACUGCUUGGUAUCUGAUCUAUGAACAGACUUGGGACAAAGACCGUGCCUUCUCAGUGCUGUUUCCUGCUCCCUGUCCUCAAAGCAGCUGCUGAGCCACCCCUUCCAUGGCAUCAUGAGUAUCCAUGCAGGGACAGGAAGCAGACAGGCCACUGGGGGUGAAUCUGGCCUUGGAGUUCACACCUGAGCUCCUUCUCCUCUAGCAAGUGAUGAAAAUGUCCAGGACUGAGUCAGGCAUGGACACAAGAGAACACCCCUGAGAAUUCUCAGAUCUGGGGAGGGGAACAUGAAGCUCUGCUGAAUUUCCUACCAGUGCAGCCAUGGAAACUCAGAGCAGCAGGAUUUUAAUCUUAACAUAGGUGGAAUCUCAUUUGUACUCAAAGGAGGAGCUAGCCUGGGGCAUUGCAGUCACCAUGCCCAGUAUUAACAUAAAUAUGGGAUGAGAACACAAAGCAAUGAAGAAAGUCACAUAAUGAAACAAUUUCUAAUCAACUCAAGCACUGUGAAAAUACCCCAGACCCACAAGCCAGAAGGCCUGGAUUCUGGCAAGAUGAGACCUCCUCAGCAGUGUGGCACUGAUAAAUCAUCUCAAAGCAGCACACUAACUCCACCAACAAUGGAAGGGCUAACCGAGACCAGGAGUGCCAAGCCUAAAGCCUGCAGCAGAACCAGCCCAUAGACCCAAGCUCUGCAGCUGGCAUGGUGGUCAAUAUGCUUUUUAAUUUGAAGGCCCUUCGGCAGGCUUCUGACAGGUCACUGCGGCCCCUACAACUACUGCAUCCGCAUCCUGCAUGGCUGAUUGAUGGUCUCUACUGACAGGCAGAAUUCUAAAAGUGAACCUCCUCCCUCCCUUCAGGGUUUCUCAUCUGAAACACUUGGAUCUUUGAAUCUUGAGAUUGUAAGAAAAUGACACCAAACAAACCUACAAAGCCCAGAUCUUCUUUCUCCCAGGUGCCAAGGAUUAUUCAUUUUCCCCUUGUUUGCUCACACAAUGUCAUAGGGGUCAAUUCCCUAUGGAUGCUUUUAGCGAUGACACUUAGGUUAGACAGGGAGGAGUCAACCCAGCCUCCCAUUCUCUUCCCGGAUCCUGGUCCUUCUUUUCACUGCAUAGAAGCAGGAAGAGAACAGAAGCUGUCACAAAUCAGUCCCCACUGAGGAUUCAAAGCCUCGUGUCUGGACUCCCAUCGGUAAGACACAU
rnacentral:lncRNA from 1 species